ensembl:lncRNA
CCCACACUCUGGAAUAACUACAGACCGUGUUUCAACCCCACACCCUGGAUUAACGACAGAGCCUGUCUCAGUCUCAACCCCACACUCUGGAAUAACUACAGACCCUGUUUCAACCCCACACUCUGGAAUAACGACAGACCCUGUCCCGGUCUCAACCCCACACUCUGGAAUAACUACAGACCCUGUCCCGGUCUCAACCCCACACUCUGGAAUAACUACAGACCCUGUCCCGGUCUCAACCCCACACUCUGGAAUAACGACAGACCCUGUCCCGGUCUCAACUCCACACUCUGGAAUAACUACAGACCCUGUCCCGGUCUCAACCCCACACUCUGGAAUAACUACAGACCCUGUCCCGGUCUCAACCCCACACUCUGGAAUAACUACAGACCCAGUUUCAACCCCACACUCUGGAAUAACUACAGACCCUGUUUCAACUCCACACUCUGGAGUAACGACAGAGCCUGUCUCAGUAUCAACCCCACACUCUUCCCUGGACUCUGGUGUUACUACAGACCCUAUCUCUGCCCCCACUGUGACCCCUGUAACCCCGACCAUGACCCUGACCUCUCCAGCUCCAGUCUCUUCUAGAGUUCUAGACUCAGCUGUGAUCUCCCCAUCCUCUCCUCCUCUGUCAUCCCCCUCCUUUCCACCUCUCUCCUCCCCCUCCUCUUCUCCUGUCUCCUCCCCUCCUAAUCCUCCUCAUGUCUCCUCCACCCCUACUCAUCCUCUCUCAUUUCCUCCUUCCUCCUCCAACUGCUCUCCUCCUCUCUCCUCCCCCUCUUCUCCUCCUCCAGUCUGUGUAUCCAUCUCUUCAUCUCCUCCUCCCUCCUUUCCAUUGUCUCCUCCGCCGGUCCCCUCUCCCUCCUCUCCUCCUCUCUCCUCUCACUCAUCCUCCUCCUCCUCUCCUCCUCCUGUCUCCCCCAGGCCCACCCAGUCGCCCCCAAAGCAGACACUCUUCUCCCCUUGUGUGGAUGUGUACCAGCCUGGCCCCCAUACUUGGAGGAGUGAUGAAGAGGAGGAGGAGGAGGUGAGUGCAGACGAGAGCCAGUACCGCCACCGUCGUUUAACUGGGGACUCGGGCAUUGAAGUGUGUCGCUGUCAAGUGGAGCCAGAGGAGGAAGAGGAGGAGGAGGAGGAGAGGGAGGGAGAAAGGGAGGAGGCGGGUGGAGUGAAGAGAGGAGGAGAAGGGGAUGGAGGAGAGGAGGGGGUGAGUGAGC